rnacentral:rRNA from 1 species
GAUGAACGCUGGCGGCGUGCUUAACACAUGCAAGUCGAACGGUGAAGCAGGAGCUUGCUCCUGUGGAUCAGUGGCGAACGGGUGAGUAACACGUGAGCAAUCUGCCCUGGACUCUGGGAUAAGCGUUGGAAACGACGUCUAAUACCGGAUACGAGGCGUGGGGGCAUCCCCAACGCCUGGAAAGAACUUCGGUCCAGGAUGAGCUCGCGGCCUAUCAGGUAGUUGGUGAGGUAACGGCUCACCAAGCCUACGACGGGUAGCCGGCCUGAGAGGGUGACCGGCCACACUGGGACGGAGACACGGCCCAGACUCCUACGGGAGGCAGCAGGGGGGAAUAUUGCACAAUGGGCGCAAGCCUGAUGCAGCAACGCCGCGUGAGGGACGACGGCCUUCGGGUUGUAAACCUCUUUUAGCAGGGAAGAAGCGAAAGUGACGGUACCUGCAGAAAAAGCACCGGCUAACUACGUGCCAGCAGCCGCCGCGGUAA